AGCUAUGGCUGUCGUCAGCUCGUGUCGUGAGAUGUUGGGUUAAGUCCCGCAACGAGCGCAACCCUUGUCCUAUGUUGCCAGCGGGUUAUGCCGGGGACUCGUAGGAGACUGCCGGGGUCAACUCGGAGGAAGGUGGGGAUGACGUCAAGUCAUCAUGCCCCUUAUGUCCAGGGCUUCACACAUGCUACAAUGGCCGGUACAAAGGGNUGCGAUGCCGUGAGGUGGAGCGAAUCCUUGUAAAGCCGGUCUCAGUUCGGAUCGGGGUCUGCNACUCGACCCCGUGAAGUUGGAGUCGNUNGUCAUCGCAGAUCAGCAACNCUGCGGNA
rnacentral:rRNA from 1 species